AUCUUUCCUAAAAUAAAGUCAUUAAGUUAUUUGAACUUUGUUUCCAGCUCAGAGAAAGGGACAAAGUUUUAUAACCACACCUCUGGAGAAAAUGGAGCUGAAAAUGAACUCGGUCUUCUGGCUCUUUGCUGUCAUGGGCUCCACUUGGAGUGCUGGUGAAGGUGUCGGACUCAAAUUGGACCAGGCCCUGCUCACCGUACACAAUAACCUCCCUCAAGAAGGUCGGCUGUUCUACGUCUCAGCAUGUUGUUACAAGUGUCAAUCCCAGUUGCUGCUCACUGUAGGCCCUGGUUCUCCUGCUGCACCCGCCAAUGCCAGCGUUUCUCUGAGCACUCGCUGUGUCCUCACCUUGGAACUCUUUGUGGCAGGAAGAAAUAGCUGCAGCUGGAGUGAGUCCUAUGGAGAACAUGGUUGGUAUUCAGUGUUUGUCCAGCCGGGGCCUCUGGGACAGAAUGAGAGUGGAUUGCAUUGUACCUUCCAAAAGGACCGAGACCCUCAGAAUGGCUAUAUCCGUAAGUAUACUCUGGUUCGUCAAUAGUUAAUAAAUGUUUAUU
rnacentral:lncRNA from 1 species